ensembl:miRNA
GGUCUCACUAUGUAGUUCAGGCUGGCCUUGAGCUCACUUUGUAGUCCAGGCUGGUCUUGAACUCGCAACAAUCCUCCUGCCUCAGCCUCCCGAGUGCUGGCAUUACAGGCAUGAGCCAUCAUGCCCG